rnacentral:rRNA from 1 species
CCUANGGGAGGCUGCAGUGGGGAGUAUUGGACAAUGGGCGCAAGCCUGAUCCAGCAAUGCCGCGUGAGUGAAGAAGGCCUUAGGGUUGUAAAGCUCUUUCGCGCGCGACGAUAAUGACGGUAGCGCGAGAAGAAGCCCCGGCUAACUCCGUGCCAGCAGCCGCGGUAAUACGGAGGGGGCUAGCGUUGUUCGGAUUUACUGGGCGUAAAGGGCGCGUAGGCGGUGCCGUAAGUCAGGCGUGAAAGGCCCAGGCUCAACCUGGGAAUGGCGCUUGAUACUGCGACGCUAGAGGACGGGAGAGGAUGGUGGAAUUCCCAGUGUAGAGGUGAAAUUCGUAGAUAUUGGGAAGAACACCAGUGGCGAAGGCGGCCAUCUGGCCCGUUGACUGACGCUGAGGCGCGAAAGCAUGGGGAGCAAACAGGAUUAGAUACCCCUNUANUC